AUUGAACGCUGGCGGCAUGCCUAACACAUGCAAGUCGAACGAGUGGCGGACGGGUGAGAAAUGUCUGGGAAACUGCCUGAUGGAGGGGGAUAACUACUGGAAACGGUAGCUAAUACCGCAUACCAUGGGAUGUGCCCAGAUGGGAUUGGCUAGUAGGGGGGGUAAAGGCUCACCAAGGCGACGAUCCCUAGCUGGUCUGAGAGGAUGACCAGCCACACUGGAACUGGGACACGGUCCAGAAUCCUACGGGAGGCAGCAGUGGGGAAUAUUGAACAAUGGGCGCAAGCCGGAUGCAGCCAUGCCGCGUGUAUGAAGAAGGCCUUCGGGUUGUAAAGUACUUUCGGCGGGGAGGCGUUACCCGCAGAAGAAGCACCGGCUAACUACGUGCCAGCAGCCGCGGUAAUUC
rnacentral:rRNA from 1 species